rnacentral:rRNA from 1 species
GAUUUCUGGUGUGAUGCGCCUGACCCAUCCACUUUAGUGGCGUGAGUGUCGGUGCGCGUCUGCCAUCCUUCUAGAGAACGGUUCCUGUCCUUCACUGGGUGGGGAUCGCGAUCUAGAUCUUUUACUUUGAAAAAAUUAGAGUGUUUAAAGCAGGCUUGCGCUAUGAAUACAUUAGCAUGGAAUAAUAAUUUAGGACUUUGUUCCUAUUUUGUUGGUUUCUAGGGAUGAAGUAAUGAUUGAUAGGGGCAGUUGGGGGUGCUAGUAUUCAGCGGCCAGAGGUGAAAUUCUUGGAUUCGCUGAAGACUAACUUAUGCGAAAGCAUU